CCUACGGGAGGCAGCAGUGGGGAAUAUUGGACAAUGGGCGAAAGCCUGAUCCAGCCAUGCCGCGUGUGUGAAGAAGGCCUUUUGGUUGUAAAGCACUUUAAGCGGGGAGGAGGGCACCGUGGUUAAUACCCACGAAUGUCGGACGUUACCCGCAGAAUAAGCACCGGCUAACUCUGUGCCAGCAGCCGCGGUAAUACAGAGGGUGCGAGCGUUAAUCGGAAUUACUGGGCGUAAAGCGCGCGUAGGCGGCUUGUUAAGUCGGAUGUGAAAUCCCUGGGCUCAACCUAGGCAUUGCAUUCGAUACUGGCAAGCUAGAGUAUGGGAGAGGAAGGUAGAAUUCCAGGUGUAGCGGUGAAAUGCGUAGAGAUCUGGAGGAAUACCGAUGGCGAAGGCAGCCUUCUGGCCUAAUACUGACGCUGAGGUGCGAAAGCAUGGGGAGCAAACAGGAUUAGAUACCCUGGUAGUCCAUGCCGUAAACGAUGUCAACUAGCCGUUGGGCCCCUUGNGGNGUAGUGGNGCGAGCGAACGACGAGUAAGUUAAGUACCGCCGUUCGGGGAGGGUACGGGUUCGGCGAAGAACGUUAAAACUUAACGAAAGGAAAGUUAGAGGCGNGAGAGNGCGACGGACGACGACGAGGGAGGAGGAG
rnacentral:rRNA from 1 species